rnacentral:rRNA from 1 species
GGGUUGUGAGGUUAAGCGACUAAGCGUACACGGUGGAUGCCCUGGCAGUCAGAGGCGAUGAAGGGCGUGCUAAUCUGCGAUAAGCGCCGGUAAGGUGAUAUGAACCGUUAUAACCGGCGAUACCCGAAUGGGGAAACCCAGUGUGACUCGUCACACUAUCAUUAACUGAAUCCAUAGGUUAAUGAGGCGAACCGGGGGAACUGAAACAUCUAAGUACCCCGAGGAAAAGAAAUCAACCGAGAUUCCCCCAGUAGCGGCGAGCGAACGGGGAGGAGCCCAGAGCCUGAAUCAGCAUAUGUGUUAGUGGAAGCGUCUGGAAAGGCGCGCGAUACAGGGUGACAGCCCCGUACACAAAAGCGCAUGUGCUGUGAGCUCGAUGAGUAGGGCGGGACACGUGGUAUCCUGUCUGAAUAUGGGGGGACCAUCCUCCAAGGCUAAAUACUCCUGACUGACCGAUAGUGAACCAGUACCGUGAGGGAAAGGCGAAAAGAACCCCGGCGAGGGGAGUGAAAAAGAACCUGAAACCGUGUACGUACAAGCAGUGGGAGCCCCACCACUAAGCCAGUGGUGAACUCCACAUACGCAUCCUUUGCUGAGGAUACGGUUAACGGAGCGAAAGCGACGUUCAACCGCAAAAGAAGCAGAGGGGGCUUAGUGGUGGGGUGACUGCGUACCUUUUGUAUAAUGGGUCAGCGACUUAUAUUCUGUAGCAAGGUUAACCGUAUAGGGGAGCCGGAGGGAAACCGAGUCUUAACCGGGCGUUAAGUUGCAGGGUAUAGACCCGAAACCCGGUGAUCUAGCCAUGGGCAGGUUGAAGGUUGGGUAACACUAACUGGAGGACCGAACCGACUAAUGUUGAAAAAUUAGCGGAUGACCUGUGGCUGGGGGUGAAAGGCCAAUCAAACCGGGAGAUAGCUGGUUCUCCCCGAAAGCUAUUUAGGUAGCGCCU